UUUUAUACUUAAAAAAAAAUGUGGUGCGACUUAAGAUGCUGGACGGCCACGCAAGUUAGCUAAAAUGGCUAACGUUAGCUAAUGUCCGGAGAUAAAUUGAAGGCCGGGAUGAAGGGCCGUGCUUAAUUUAUGAAAAAGUCCGUGACAAGAUAAUGGAGUGUCGCAAGAAUUGGGGAGAUGUUACAGAAUAACAAGUAAAACCUCCUGUGUUUCGGUUUGAAGUUUAACUGUGGUGAAAAAUAGGCGUCACAUGAGCAGUGAGUUAUUGCUGGCCACGCUAAAUGUUACUGCAGCAGCCUACAUCUGACGUUGACAUAUAGUCAAAUCGUUCUUCGGUUCUCCGUGCCGUAUUCCAGGGCCUCGACUUUACUUUUUUGUACCGGCAAUUAGACUAAGCAUGCAGUUACCCAGUUUCCGGGAGCUUAGGUGCUACCGGAACAGGUCGAUGUGUGACGAAAAGUGGCGAUCGAUUUGAUUCAGGCGCCGAUAGUUAGGAAUGAGCGUGUUGAAAUUCUCCAUUAUUGGGGACCCUUUUUCCAAGAUGUACGUUCAUUUAAUCCCAAUUAAAUUAAUAAAUGAGAAUUAUGCUGGAAUUAUGUGACAACCUAUCAACCUAAAUGAUCACACAUAUAACAGUCUGUUAUGUGGAGUGCUUGGCGUGGAUUCUAUUAACCGUUCGACCUUGGACUCACUGAAGUUUUUAAACAAAAUCUUCCUUUUAAGUUAUUCAUUUUCGAUAUUUAAGAAAUGUAACUGUCACUAAUUCCCUCUACCUUACUGCAUGUUGUUUAGCACUGAGAUUUACCACAGUCAUGUCCACGAACUAGUCUUCCUUAUCCCUUCAAACAUCAUUUGAAAUGAAGCAAAUGUAUUGCAAUGCUGCUGUGUAUGUCGCUUAAGUUUUGAAGUUGGAAUGCUGCCCCCUACCCCCUGUAUAUGGACACAGGGAAAAUCAUUGGUACCCCAUAUGGUGCUCACCUCUCCAUUUGACUUAUGGAUGCUCCAGUACUCCAGGAGUAUUCGAGAAUUGUAAAUGUGGAAUUUUGACAAGAUAGUCUAUUUGUCUUCCGUUCAUGUGCAUGUACUCUAUUGCUUUGAUCACUUUGAAUGCAGAGACCAUGUUUACAGGAUGUUUAGUUAUAAAGGCCGGUCUCGAGCGCUGUAGGGCAGCAGUGUAGAGCAGUGCUUCAGGAACUGGCCAUGUAACUGUGAGCUUCAGUGUAUAUCUUGCUGUAUAAGUGGAUACUAUGUCAAAUGCAAGAAAGCAAAGUUGUGCAAGUUUCUCUGGAGAAAGGCAUCGGCUAAAUGCCCCUGCCCCUAAUGUAAUGUUGUGUUGUGUUGUGCUGAGUAGAGGCAUCAGUUAUCACAGAUUGUACCCCAAAUACUGAUCACCCUUUUCUAUGGAAUACUUAUUGGAUGACCAUAUAGUGGACUUCUCUACACCCAUGAGAGCAAUGUAAAAAGUUUUGAGUGAAGAUGAAAGGCUGUGAAUGGCACCAUUGAUCAGUGACAAUAAUGAAGGUCCUUUAAAUUGGACCGGCAACACAUUUAGCGCCUACUAAAUGAUAGAAUAGAGGCCAUUUUAAAACAUUGUGUUCCGGUGCUGUUUCUGAUAUAGCCUUCUGCUGCUUGCACUACGUGUGCAGAUGUAUUGCUUUUCUGUGUGCAUCGUGCUGGAGUUCAGGAAACUUUUUUUUUUGUGCAGAGCAAACAGACCCACCAAACAAAUCCAAACACUGCAUGUCCUAUAGAAAGACAUUUCUCUGGUAAAGUACAGUUACGUGGGAAAUAUGACCGACUGUUCAUUUGAUGUAAGUUGGGUUGAUGUACAAGCGGGAUGUGGGCACAUAGAUAAUAGUGUAUCCCAGCAGGAUCGGUUUCUUAAGCCCUGCUGAGCUUCAGUUGCAUUACAGCUCAUCCCACUUAGUUUCCCCCAGACUGUAACCGAAGAUGACGGCUGUAACCGAGUCUUUACUGGGAAAACCUUUGUUCGGUGGUUAACGGUCCUCCACCUUUUGUAUUGAGUGUUUACGGGUAAAAACAGUUCCGUUUCUCUCACUUUGUUUGGGCUUGUUCUGGUUUCUGUCACACCUAACAAGGCUGCCAGCUCAGUUCCCCUUAAAGCAGUUUACCUCAGCAGUAAAUGUCUCUCCAGCAUUCCUUGUUAUUUUAGUCUAGUAUAUUAAUGCUAAAUUUAUAGGCUCUUUGACAAGGAUUUGGCAUAUAAACUAUAGUAGAGCUUCCAUAUUGAAGUAAAAAAAAAAUGCAGAAGGCCUGCUUCUGUGCAGUAAAAUGAGUGGAACAUUUGGCUCUGUAGUUACAAUGAAGCUCUUUUUGGAGAGAUGUUGCACAUAACAAGGUUAAAACGAUGCUGGCUCCAUAAUACACUAGAUUGUAAAGAGAAGCCUAGCUGGAAAUGCUAGUUACCAAUUAUCUUGAUAUCUUGAUAUCUUCUCAAAAAUAAAAAGCUAUAUACAUUCUAUAACGCCCGACCAAUAGGUGGCUUCUGCAGAUAGGCCAUGUCUGUUUUGGGGAAAAUCCUACCAAUAUAGUCUCUUGAAACGUCAUCGUGUUACCAACCCGCUUCACUAACAUGGGGUUUCAGAGGGUCCCUCUCACUGAACUCUAUGGUCUAUCUGUUAUCACACUGGAGAAGUUUCGAGACGCCUGGGCUGGUAGAGUUACAUCACGUGCGACUGCACUGCACACUUGAGUAUAAUGUUCUCGCAACUUUUAAUCUGUAGCCAGUGGUAGGAGUGCAAUCACUGUAUCGGUUAUUAAGGGUGGAGAACAAUCGAUAAACUCCCCCCUCCCAAAGUUUUUUCCUCCUGGAUUUUCACUACUGAGCAGACAUGUUUUGAGUUUCACCAAUCUCUUGCCGUGAGUUAGCCGACGUUUGAGCUUUAUAAUGUUCGACUUAAUGGUCUGUCAGAGGAAUUAUGCAGAUGAUAAUUUAUGACUUCUGAUAGUUUCUCUAUCAUCUCCAUGUUUAUAAACACCAUUCAAAACCAAAAUAAUGAAGUGAAGAAAAAAAAACCUCACAUAAAUCAAUGAAACCAAAUUAUGACAUUCCCUCUGGCUGUGUUCCCUCUGAAAUAACAAAAUAGCAAUGCACGACAUUGAGAGUAUUGAGCAACACUUUUAGUUAAAAAUUUUACAAGCGACGCUUGUUGAAAGCGUUGUGUGAAGAAGUAUAAAUUAGGCCUUAAUCAAGUCACAAGCGAUCUGCUGGGAGUAAAAUUAAUGGGUCAGUGGCAGAAAUGGCUGGUGAUUCUCUGUCGUUUUUGCUCAUCUACUUAUUGGCAGAUUCAAAGUGUUUUCAGACAGAUGCUCGCUCGUUUGCCACUUGUUUAUCACAGGUUAUAUUUCGGCAGGCUGCUGUUGGACCUUCACUCAUUUUCUCUUAUUUACGCACUGUGAAAUGUUCACCAUUAAAUCAACUCUUACAGAGUUUAUACGAGUCCACUAUUGUCAGACUGGACUGGUGUAAACUUUUGAGUUGAAUUAACACCAGAUGUUUUACUGUAUAACCUGCACUAAAUACAUUUCUAAACAUAGAAACAUACAACUGAUACAUUCAUUCCUCAUCGCAUGCGUAGCUAUUUCUAACAUAAGGAGGCUUAAGAGGGUAAAUAAUCCCCCUAAACAUGAAAAGCACAUAAGAAAAAUUAACAGCUUGUUGAAAUUCUGGGAUUGCGAUUGCGGUUGGAACGGAAACCAGCGUACACAGUACGAGCUUGGGAAGCACUGCUCUAGUCUAUAAUGCCUUUGUUUGGGUUUGGUGCUCUCAGUGAUGUCCAAGAUUAGGUUAGUAGUGCACAGUGCCAUAAUGCAGUUUGCUUUGUCCUACGAUGAAAAGGAUGCGAUUAAGUAAGCACAGGUUCUUUGGGUGAGUGCUGUAUUAAUUUCCCUCAAUAAAAUAUCAGGCUCCCAGAGGAUACCAGCUGUCCCUUUUGGUUAGCACCCAGUGUUUGUACAGUGCGGCCUGUAGAAAAUGAUAGUUGGUACAUGGGCAGAUGCAGAUGGCACAGCGGUGACUCUGCAAAAUUUGGACAUGGAACAAAAACAAAAA